CUGUUGGACAGAACCGCACAGAAUAAUGACAUAAAGAAAGGACGUAUAAACCUUUUAUGGCAAAUAUCUCCCAAAAGCUCUUCAAAGGAACUUUAGGCCCACACAUUCAGCAGAGGACCAUGGGGACCCUCCUGCUGACUCUGCUUGGACUGCAGACAGUGAUGGGAAUGCGACACUGGUGCGAACACACGGCGGAGGAGAGAGUGGAGCGAGUCCUGUCCCCGCGCCUGCAGCUGGAAGUGAGCUGCUCUGAGGUGUAUCAGUACAACACCCAGGCCUGGAGGCUCGAUGUGGACAGGAUGCGCGCCAAGCACGGGGGCGACGACGGCAUCGCACUGUACUACAGACGACAGGGUCCGAAGGCCUCAUGUUUCUUGUACAAACCCCCAGAGAUGGAGAACCAGAUGGUGAACAAGACAGUGAGGGCAUGCUGUGAGGGCUGGGGCGGACCACGCUGCUCUGAGGGUGUGGGCGUGCGUGGCCAGUGUUACUCUACGUGGAGUUGUGUGGAGUUCCCUGGAGUUCAUAACUCCUCUCUCAUGCCCAUGGAGCAGUGCUGCAGCAGCCUGUGGGGGCUGAGCUGGAGGAACGCCUCCGACCAGACCUGCUUGUCCUGCUCCUACACUCUUCUUCCUGACUCCCAGACCUCCCCUCUGGUGCGCGGUGGUCUGCUGGGUAGCGUCAGGGUGCCUCAGAGCUCGGCCACCUGCAUGACUUGGGGUGGAGCCCACUACCGCACCUUUGACAGGAAGCACUUCCACUUCCAGGGCGACUGCACUUACCUGCUGGCCUCAUCCAGUGAUGGCACCUGGGCAGUCUACAUCAGUACGGUCUGUGACGGGAGAGGAGUCUGCAGCAAGGCGUUGAGGAUGAUGCUGGGGCUUGAUUUGGUUUCAAUUCACCACAAGAACUUAACGCUGAACAGCCUCCCCGUUCCCAAUGGAGAGCCACUCUUCCAAAAUGGAGUGAGUGUUCAUUGGCUGGGGGACUUUGUGUUUGUGGAGAGCGGCCUGGGAGUGAGAGUGAAGUUCGACCUGACCAACACCGUGUACCUGACGGUGACCGCUGAGCACCUGAUGGCCACCAGGGGGCUCUGUGGAGUCUACAACAACAACGCUGACGAUGACUUCACCACAGUGGGCGGAGCUGUGUCCCAGUACGCCGCUAGCUUCGGCAACUCGUGGAAAGUUCCUGACCAGCACAACGAAGGCUGCAGCGACGCGGCCGAGCUCGGCCACAGCUGUGACCUCUCAGGAGACCCUGCAAUACGCAGGCAGGCGGAGUCAGUGUGUCACCGCCUGCUGGAAGACCCCUUCACACACUGCCACCUCCGGUUGGACCCAGCGGCGUACAUGGACACCUGUCUCUACCUGUACUGUAGCCUGCCGCCCAAGGACAGGGAUUCGGCAGUGUGUGACACCCUGGCUAGCUACGCCCGAGAGUGUGCUCAGCAACAUGUCAUCAUGGUGUGGAGGACGGGCACCCUGUGUGGUCGCGUCUGUCCCAGAGGUCAGGUGUUCUCAGACUGUGUGUCCUCCUGUCCCCCCAGCUGCACGUCUCCCCAGCCCCCCGGGCCCGCUGCGGCCAUGGGCCAGUGCAGGGAGGAGUGUGUGGGCGGCUGCGAGUGUCCACCGGGCCUCUCCCUCCACCAGGGGCUCUGCCUGACAAGAGACGACUGUCCCUGUUUCCAUCGCAGGCGCACCUACCAGUCAGGGGACCGGAUACAGCAGAGAUGCAACACCUGUGUGUGCAGAGCAGGCCAAUGGCAGUGUACUGGGGAGAAGUGCGCAGCCCAGUGCAGCCUGAUGGGGGCGCUACAGGUGACCACCUUUGACAAAAAGAGGUACUCACUACAGGGAGGAGACUGCUCCUACACUGCUGUCGAGGACUUUGUUGACAGGAAGCUGGUGGUGAGUGUGCGCUGCGGGGAGUGUAGGCCUACAGCGGGAGGAGGAGGAGGUGGAGGAGGUCUGGGUUGUCUAAGGGAGAUGUCAGUCACAGCACUCCACACCACAGUCACCAUCACAGACGCCGGUACAGUGACACUGAAUGGCCUGAGGGAGCCCCUGCCAGUGGUGACGGGGGACCUGGUUGUGCGUAGGGCCUCCUCCUCAUUUCUCCUCAUCCAGGCUUUUGGAGCCCAGCUGCUCUGGCACCUAGAUGGACCUUUGGCCCUCAUCACCCUGCAGCCUGGCUUCGCAAAUAAGGUGCGCGGCCUUUGUGGAACACUGACCUGGAACCAGCACGAUGACUUCACCACCCCGGAAGGAGACGUGGAGAACAGUGUGUCAUUGUUCGCAAGCAAAUUCACGACAGAGGCCUGUGCUCUACCUAGAGGGGCUCCACCUGACCCCUGCACCACGUACACCCAGAGGAGGCACUACGCGGAGACAGUGUGCUCCAUCAUACACAGUCCCGUCUUUCAGGCGUGUCAUGACGUGGUGGAGAGGGAGCCCUUUUUCCGUCUCUGUCUGUCGGAGGUUUGCGGCUGCGCUCCGCAGAGGGCCUGUCACUGCAACAUCCUCACUGCCUACGCCCGACACUGCGCUCAGGAGGGCGUCGCCGUCCACUGGCGCAACCGCACCUUCUGCGCGGUCCAGUGUUCGGGGGGUCAGGUGUACCAGGAAUGUGGUCGCGCCUGCGGCGGAUCCUGUUCCGACUCAAGGAGCUGCGAUGCCACUGGCGGUGGGACGGGUCUCAGGAUGUGCGUUCCGGGUUGCCAGUGCCCACCGGGGCUAGUGCAGGACCACCAGGGCCAGUGUGUGCCCAUCACUAUGUGCCCCUGUGUGCAAGGAGACAAGACGUACCGGCCUGGGGCCGUGAUUCAGAACAACUGUAACAGCUGUGUGUGUGAGCGGGGGCUGUUUAACUGCACUCAGGAGCGCUGUGAGGAGGUGAACCAGUGUCCGGGCUGUCUGGUCUACUCUCCACGCUCCUGCCUCCUCACCUGCUCCAGCCUGGAUCCCCCUGACCAACAGCAGGGGUCCAGUGUGGCACAUUCGAGCUGCAGAGAGCCCCUGUCGGGCUGCGUCUGUCCCCAGGGAACUGUGCUGCUAGGGGAUCGCUGCGUUCUGCCAGAGGAGUGCCCCUGUCACCAUAACGGUCGACUUUACUACAGCAACGACACCAUCACCAAAGACUGCAACACAUGUGUGUGCAAGGAGCGCCGCUGGCACUGCAGCCAGUCCGCCUGCACCGGUGUGUGCGUGGCGACAGGGGACCCGCACUACGUGACGUUCGACGGCCGCUGUUACUCUUUCCUGGGCGACUGCCAGUACGUGCUGGCGAGGGAGACCAGCGGUUUGUUCAGUGUGAUUGCAGAGAACGUGCCAUGCGGCAGCACCGGAGUCACCUGCACAAAGUCGGUGACCCUCAGCCUGGGAAAUACCGUCAUACAUCUGCUGAGAGGUAAAGCCGUGACAGUAAAUGGGAUGCCAGUUAGUCUGCCAAAGUCCUACAGUGGCAGUGGUCUGACUUUGGAAAGAGUCGGCCUGUUUGUCUCCCUUUCCUCCCGACUAGGGGUCACUCUGCUAUGGGAUGGAGGUAUGCGCGUGUACGUGCGUGUGGCGGCCCACCUGCGGGGUCGGGUCGGGGGCCUGUGUGGUAACUUUGACGGAGACACAGAGAACGACUUCACUACGCGGCAGGGCAUCGUGGAGUCGACUGCGGAGCUGUUUGGUAACUCCUGGAAGGUCAGCCCCUCCUGCCCCGACGUGGCAGACCAGGACCUCCGAGACCCUUGUGCUAUUAACGCCUACAGGGUGACCUGGGCCAGGAAAAGGUGUGCGGUCCUGACUCAGGAGCUCUUCUCUCAGUGCCACCUCGAGGUGCCCUUCCAGCAGUAUUAUGACUGGUGUGUCUUCGAUGCUUGUGGCUGUGACUCAGGUGGGGACUGUGAGUGUCUCUGUACAGCCAUUGCUGCCUAUGCUGAAGAGUGUAACCGCAGAGGAGUCUACAUCCGCUGGAGGUCCCAAGAGCUCUGUCCUCUGCAGUGUGAGAACGGGCUAGUGUAUGACCCCUGUGGUCCAGCUUGCUCUCCCUCGUGUCCCAGUGUUCAGCAGAGUCCACACUCCCAGUGUGGCGCUCUCUCCUGCAUGGAGGGCUGCUUCUGCCCUGCUGGCACCGUCCGACACGGGGACAGCUGUGUAGUUCCCAUUCGGUGUCCAUGUGAGUGGGAGGGCUCCAUGUUUCCACCUGGAACUACCAUCACUCAACACUGCCAGAACUGUUCCUGUGAGGAUGGCGUGUGGCAGUGUGACGGGGUGGCAUGCCUUCCUGCCCCCCCUCACUGUCUGGAAUCAGAGUACACCUGUGCUGGGGGGCGCUGCAUCCCCUCCCAGUGGGUGUGUGACAACCAGGACGACUGUGGCGAUGGUUCGGAUGAGAUCUGCCCUUCCACCUGCACCCCGGACCAAUUCCGCUGUACCGGCACGCCAAGCGGACCAUGUUUGAACCCGGCUCUGCGUUGUGACGGCCACCCAUACUGUGCUGACCAAUCGGAUGAGGAGUUCUGUGGCCCUGCCACCCCCAUGCCCCUGUGCCCACCGGGGGAGUUUCAGUGUGCCAACGGAAAGUGCCUGGCAGCCAGCCGUGUGUGUGACGGACGGCUGGACUGUGGUUUCGCUGACGGGUCUGACGAGCAAGACUGCGGUGUGGUGUGUGAUGAGGGGGAGUUGCUGUGUGCCGGAGGACGUUGCAUUCUCUACCUCCACCGCUGCGACGGACAUGAUGACUGCGGGGACCUCAGUGACGAGAGGGGGUGUGUGUGUGCACCAGGGGAGUUUCAGUGCCCUGGGGACCAGUGUGUCCCUGCAGACAGAGUGUGUGAUGGACACAGAGACUGCCCCUCUGGAACAGACGAAGCUGUCUGUCCAAAUAGAGUGACCUGCGCUCCUGGCCAGUUUGCCUGUAGUGACGGUACGUGUGUCGCCACCACUAAGUUGUGUGAUGGAACAGCAGACUGUCGAGGUGGAGAGGAUGAGAACAGAACCAACUGCUACACUGCUGUCACAACGCCGUCACCCGUCACCCGGACUACGCCCACUUCAGCUUGUAGGUCCUAUGAGUUCAGCUGUGCCACUGGUGGGCAGUGUGUGCCUCAGGCCUGGCGUUGUGAUGGGGAAACAGACUGUAUGGACGGCAGCGAUGAGCAGCAGUGCACCGCCCUCUGUGGCCCCGGCCAGGUGCCCUGUCUCAGCGGGGACCAGUGUGUGGACUACCAGCAGCUCUGUGACGGGAUCCCACAGUGCAGGGAUGCCUCAGACGAGAGUAUCGACAACUGUGGCUCUACUCGGAUACCACCUUGCCCAGGCAGCUUCCUAUGCAACAACGGAACAUGUGUGAACAUGUCGCGAGUGUGCAACGGUGUUCCAGACUGUCCAUGGGGUGACGAUGAGUUGAUGUGUGAUAAAACGGUCUCACCAGGACCCCCUGGCAGUAGGAACACCACUCUCACCUGCCCUGAAUUUACCUGUAUGGACGGAUCCUGUGUGCCCUUUAAUAUGGUGUGUAAUGGUGUGGUAGACUGCCCAGACUCCACACUAGCACCACUUGGAGGCCCCACUGAUGAGCAGGGCUGUAGAAGUUGGAGCUCCUGGGGUCCGUGGAGCCCCUGCAGCACCUCCUGUGGUACAGGCUCCACAAGCCGGCAAAGAGCCUGUCCUACAGGAGAUCCACUGCGUCACUGUCGGGGACAGGACUCCCAGAGGAAGCAGUGCUUCAAUACCACCUGUCCUGUGGACGGUGAGUGGCUGCCGUGGGUGAUCUGGUCCAACUGCUCCAGCGGUUGUGGUGGCGUGCAGGUCAGACACAGAGGCUGCAUCCCCCCUCACUACGGAGGCCGGGACUGUUCCCAGCUCCCUGGACCAUCCAGCCUACCCAUGGAGAUCGAGCCUUGUCCCGACGAUGGAUGUGCCAACACCAGCUGUCCCACUGGGCUGGUGAGACUCAGCUGUGCUCCCUGCCCAGUGUCCUGUGCCCACGUCAGCAGUGGGACCACCUGUGAUCCAAAGGCUCCCUGCUACUCAGGUUGCUGGUGUCCGGAGGGCCUGGUGAUGAGCCAUACGCAACAGUGUGUGUCACCAGAGGAGUGUGCGUGUGAGGUGGCAGGCGUGCGCUACUGGCCGGACCAGCAGAUGAAGGUGGACUGUGAGAUUUGUGUCUGUGAGAGGGGAAGGACGCAGAGAUGCCGGCCUAACCCGGACUGUUCAGUGCACUGUGGCUGGUCGUCGUGGACUGAGUGGGGAGAGUGUUUGGGGCCCUGUGGUGUUCAGAGUGUCCAGUGGUCGUUCCGGAGCCCAAACAACCCCAUCAAGCAUGGAGACGGGAGAUCAUGCAGAGGAAUAUACAGGAAGGCCCGCCGGUGUCAGACAGACCCGUGUGAUGAGUGUAAGUACCAGGGUCAGUCCCAUGCUGUGGGAGACAGAUGGAGGUCAGACCACUGCCAGUUAUGUCACUGUCUGCCCAACCUGACAGUGCAGUGUUCCCCCUACUGUCCAUACGCUCUCAGUGGAUGUCCUCAGGGCCAAAGUCUGGUGCCUGGAGAGGGAGACAGGUGCUGCUACUGUCAAGGAGGAAAUGACACCAUUCUUGUGACAGUUAGCCCCAUCACUGUGACCUCCCAGCCAGCAGAGGGCACUACACCUCUGGUUCCCACCUAUCCUCUUCCCGCUGGAGGUGAGUGUUGGUCUCCUCUGGGUGUUCAGACUCUCCCAGCCUCCAGUUUCAGUGCCUCGUCACAGCAGACUGGUCACCCCCCUGAGGCAGGUCGCCUGCAUUGGUGGGACCCCCAUGGAGACCUCCAGGGUUGGAGUCCAGAACCCGAUGAGUAUAAGGACCUACCACACCGGAGCCCUGAGGGACACACGAGCAGCACACAGAGCCCAUACCUCCAGACGGACCUGCUGACACUAUACAACGUCACUGGUGUGCUAACCCAGGGUGGUGGUGUGUUCGGCACCUUUGUGUCCAGCUUCUACCUCCAGUUCAGCCAGGAUGGCCGACAGUGGUACACUUACAAAGAGCUCAUUACGGACGCCCGGCCCAGAGCCAAGGUUUUUCAUGGUAACCAUAAUGACCGAGGGGUGGCAGAGAUCCGGCUGGACAGGAUGGUGUCGGCUCGGUUCGUCCGCCUGCUGCCACACGACUUCCAGAACGGCAUCUACCUUCGACUUGAGAUCAUGGGCUGUGGAGAUGGUGCGCAGCCAUCCACUACAGCCAUCAUACCACUCAGCUGCCCUGCUGGUCAGUUCUCCUGCCCCCCACCAGGGGGCUGCAUCGAGGCAGGGCUGCGCUGUGAUGGGAUCCCCCACUGUCCAAAAGGAGAGGACGAAACCGGCUGCCAUUCUCAUGACAUCACCACCCAGUCAGACAGGCCGUACACACCCAGCCCUGCUCCUCUCAGGACUCCACCCAAGACUGCUGUCACUCAUCCUGCAGUAACAUCAACGGAUGGUGGCCCAGGAUAUCGUGCCAUCUGCUCCUCUCCCCUUGGACUGGAGGACGGGAGGAUUCGAUACGGUCAGCUGACGGCAUCCUCGCACCGCGAGAACAACCCUGCUGAUGCUGGACGACUAAACAUCGUCCCUAACGUUCAGGUUAUGGAGCCUGGAUGGAGCCCCUUACCUGCAGAUCCCCAACCCUUUUUCCAGGUGGACUUCCUGGAGCCCACAUGGGUAUCAGGGGUGGUGACCCAGGUCAGUGAACGCAUGUGGGGUUACCUCACUAAAUACCGCCUGGCCUUCGCCCUGCACAGCAGCCUCUUCACAGACUAUACUGAGGAUGGGAAUCCUGGAAGCCCAGCUAAGGUGUUUGAGGUGCGGAUGGCGGGCAGGAACCCGGUGACCCGCUGGCUCGGUCGGCUGGUCAGAGCUCGCUACCUGCGCAUCAUCUCUGUGGAGUUCAGACACACCUUCUACCUGCGUGUGGAGAUCCUCGGCUGCAGAGGAGAUGAGCUGGUGACCCCCAGCAGCGGGACCACGUCUCCCUCUGGUGGUGGGACAGUGACCGUACGGCACUGUGAGCCAGGCCUGUUUGCAUGCCUGCACAGUGGAGAGUGCGUCCCCGUCUCUGUGCUUUGUGACGGUCGAGCGGACUGCAAGGACCACUCUGACGAGAUCAACUGUGGCGCCCCAGGCCUCCACACCACCAGGUCCCAGGGUGGCCUUCCUGGCGUGGCUACCCCAGGGGUCACAGGUCAAACUGGACUCCAGAAGACGACAACCUCAAGUACAGGGGUCACCACAGGUCAACCUGGGCUGCAUCUCACCACAACCCGCCAUUCCGGAAAACCUGGGUUGCAAACCACAAAAGCCCCGUGGGCCGCUACAACUCUGUACGAUGGCGGCCUACCCAGAGUGCUUUGCAUGGAGGGCCAGUUUGCGUGCCGCUCUUUUGGCUGUGUUGACUCGGCACAGGUGUGUGACGGCAGACGGGACUGUUUGGACGGGUCAGAUGAGGAAGGCUGUGGCACCACAGCCAGACCAGCGGUGACUUCACAAGGUCCCCAUGUGCCCAGCCCCUGCUCCCCCAAGCAGUUCUCUUGUGACAGUGGGGAGUGCGUUCACCUGGACCGGAGGUGUGACCUGCAGACGGACUGUGUGGACGGAUCGGACGAGAGAGACUGUGUGGACUGCAUCAUAUCCAAGUGGACAGCGUGGAGCGUGUGCAGUGUGUCCUGUGGUCUGGGCUCCUUGUUCCGGCAGAGGGACAUCCUGAGGGAAGCUCUGCCCGGAGGGACCUGUGGUAGAGCUCAGUUUGACAGUCGAGCCUGUUUCCCUCGAGCGUGUCCAGUCGGCGGUCGCUGGUCAGAGUGGACGGAGUGGUCGGCGUGUGACUCUCAGUGUGGAGGUGGUGUCAAACGGAGGAACAGAACCUGCUCUGCUCCUCCUCCCAAGAACGGUGGGCGGGACUGUGAGGGCAUGACCCUGCAGAGCCAGAGCUGCAACAGCGAGCCCUGCACCAAAGACAUUGGCACGCAGACAGGCUGCGUCAACAGCAUGGUGCUGGUGACUGAGGCGGACUGCCGGGCUGGCAGGGUAGAGCCCUGUCCUCCUACCUGCUCACAUCUCAGCAUGACCAGCAACUGCACCGCAGCAUGUAUACCGGGGUGUCGCUGUGCCGAUGGUCUGUACCUUCAGGAGGGGCGGUGUGUGAAUGGCAGCCAGUGCGUCUGUCUCUGGGACGGUCAAACACUGCAGCCCGGACAGACGGUCAGCAGGGACCAGUGCACCUCAUGCGUGUGCAUAGAUGGACAAGUAACCUGUGACACCUCCCUUUGUGUGGCCUCCUGUCAUUGGUCAGCCUGGUCGUCAUGGUCGCCGUGUGACGUGACCUGUGGUCUGGGGCUCCAGCAGCGCUACAGGUCUCCAGUGAACCCGGCUGGAGCCGGAAGAAUCCAGCCCUGUCCAGGAGACUCCUCGGAGGCCCGCCGCUGCCCCGGCUCCUGUCUCCCUGGGCUGCCUGAUGGAGUCUGGGGCAAAUGGACCAGCUGGUCAGAGUGCAGUAAGACGUGUUUCAACCACGUAGAUGAUGUUGGAAUCAGGCGACGAUUCCGCAGCUGCAACCACACGCUCACACCCUUCAACCACACGCACGCGGACUCGGCCUGCGAUGGAGACGGCGAGGAGCAGGAGCCUUGUAACACUGUGCACUGUCCAGUGAAUGGCGCUUGGUCGGCGUGGUCAUCGUGGUCUCAGUGUUCAUCAGAGUGCGACUCCGGCGUCCAAACGAGAGAUCGAUUCUGCAGUUCCCCCUCACCAACCCACGGGGGCAGCAGCUGCCCCGGGCCACACGUACAGACAGGAGACUGCAACUCCCACCCCUGUUCAGGUGUGUGUCCAGAGGGCAUGGUGCACAUGACUUCAGCAGAGUGCGAGGCUCAAGGCGGCGCGUGUCCGCGGGUGUGUCUGGACAUGACCUCCACAGAGGUGCAGUGUGUCACCGCCUGUUACAACGGCUGCUACUGCGCCCUGGGCUUCUACCUGCUCAACGGCAGCUGCGUGCCCCUGGCACAGUGCCCGUGUUACCAGCAGGGGGAGCUGUACCCGGCCGGUGCAGCCCUGCCUGUGGAUGCCUGCAAUAACUGUACCUGCACUAAUGGAGCAAUGGAGUGCGGAGCAGCUCCCUGCGCUGUGGACUGUGGCUGGAGCAGCUGGACCCAGUGGAGCGCUUGCAGUCGAACAUGCGACGUUGGUGUGAGAAGACGCUAUCGUUCGGGAACCAAUCCUCCUCCAGCUUUCGGCGGUCGUCCCUGCAAAGGAGACCGAGUUGGGAUCGACACCUGCAGCAUUGAACCCUGCUUUGGUGUACGGGAGCCAUGGGUGGCGUGGUCGGAGUGCUCUGUGACGUGUGGAGGAGGUUACAGGAGCCGAACCCGUGGACCCAUCCGAAUCCACGGCACUGCUCAGCAGUUCAGCGCCUGUAACCUGCAGCCCUGUGGAGACGGCAGGGUGUGUCCUCCAGGCCAGCAGUGGAAGCAGUGUGUGAGGGGAGCAGUGUCGUGUGCAGACCUCACAAUGGACCUCAGCAGGAACUGCACGCCGGGCUGCCAGUGUCCACACGGGACUAUCCAACAGGAUGGUGUGUGUGCGCAAGAGUCCGACUGUCGCUGUCACUUGAAUGGAGAACAUCACAAACCAGGAGACAUUGUCCCCACAGACUGCAACAACUGCACAUGUGAAGCAGGGAGGCUGGUAAACUGCUCUCGAGUCAGCUGCAAUGUUGAUGGCCAGUGGUCAGUGUGGACUCCCUGGGGUCAGUGUUCGUCGUCGUGUGGAGCGGGUCUCCAGUCUCGGUACCGGUUCUGUUCCAGCCCCCAGCGCUCUGGCAGUGGCCUGCCGUGUGUGGGCCCUCACAGAGAGGACCAAGUCUGCAUCACCGCUACAUGUGACCGUGACGCGGGCUGGGGCCAGUGGAGCAACUGGACGGAGUGUACCAAGUCAUGCGGCGGGGGGGUUCGAAGCCGGAGGAGAGAGUGUGACAGUCCCAGUCCAGAGGGGGAGGGGAACUACUGCGAGGGGCUGGGAACUGCAUUCCUACUAUGUAACACUGACCACUGUCCAGUGGCGCCAUGCUCGCAGGUGCCAGGCACAGCGUUCAGUAGCUGUGGUCCGUCCUGCCCGCGCUCCUGUGACGACCUGGCUCACUGCGAGUGGCAAUGUGAGCCUGGGUGCUACUGUACAGGGGGGAAGGUCCAGUCUGCUAACGGGACAGCCUGUGUAGAGAGAGAAGACUGUCCCUGCAUGGACCUCAGCACCGGACACAGGCUGCAACCAGGGGAGACCACCGAAGCCCCGGAUGGAUGUAACAACUGCACCUGUGGGGGUGGGAGGCUCAACUGCACCAGAUACCCCUGUCCAGUGUCAGGCGGCUGGUGUGACUGGUCAGAGUGGACUCCGUGCUCCAGGACCUGUGGGGCAGAGUCGGUGUCCCGCUACAGGAGCUGUGGCUGUCCUGAGCCCAAGGCCGGAGGAGCGGCCUGCCCCGGAGAACAGGAAACACACAAUGGGGUCGGAGUUCAAAUUCAGAGACAACCCUGCCCUGUCAUCACCUUCUGUCCAGUCCACGGUUCCUGGAGUCCGUGGUCACCGUGGUCGGAGUGCGACGGGUGCGCCGGGUCGUCCACCCGCACCAGGCAAUGUAACAGUCCUCCCGCCAGGUUCGGCGGGCUGCCCUGUCUCGGAGAGAGCAGGCAGAGCCGCGGCUGCCAUGACAACAUCACCGUCUGCUCAGACUGCGGUGGAGGCCAGGAAGAAUGGCCUUGUGGGAAGCCCUGUCCGCGCUCCUGCUCUGAUCUCCACGGUGACACGGAGUGCGUGGACUCCCCUGGGUGCAGACGGACCUGCGGUUGUCCGGGUGACAUGGUUCUGCAGGACGGAGUGUGUGUGGCCCGGGAGGAGUGUCGCUGCAAAUACCACAACAGUUCUGCUGUGAUGACAUUCAGCGGUCUAGAUUCCAGUAAUGCAUCAUGGGUAUGGCCCGGUGGAUCUGAUUGGCAGUUUGCAAAUCCAGGAGACAGCAUCAUCAGUGACUGCAGAAACUGUUCCUGCGAGGCCGGGGUCCUGCAGUGUCAAUCGGUCCCUGGUUGCUAUGUUGACGGUGGCUGGAGCCAAUGGGGGUCCUGGACUGAGUGUUCAAUCUCUUGCGGAGGAGGAGUCAAGUUCAGGAGACGCCAGUGUGAUAACCCGUCCCCCCAGAGCAGUGGGAGGGGCUGCCUGGGAGUCGCUGAACAGCAGAAAGACUGCAACAUACACCUGUGCACAGACUCGGUGGGCCCCUGGCUCCCCUGGUCUCAGUGGUCCGAGUGUUCGGUCAGCUGUGGUGGAGGACAGCAGUCCCGCUCCCGUCUCUGCAGUUCUCCACCCUGCAGCGGCCUCAGCCGCCAGAGCAAGACCUGCAACACCCAGGUCUGCCUCGAAGUGGGCUGCCCUCCUGGCAGGUUGUACAGGGAGUGUGAACGAGGCGAAGGCUGUCCCUUCAGCUGCGCUCAGGUCAGCGGCAGAGAGGGCUGCUACUCCGAUGGCUGCGAGGAAGGCUGCCACUGCCCCCCUCACACCUACCAGCACCACGGUGUCUGCCUGCAGGAGUGUCCUUGUCUGGUGGACAAAGAGUUGAUGGCCUCUCUGCAGAGUGUUUCUGUCACACCGGUUUCGUCUCUGCUCCUCCAUAACAUCUCUGAGGGAGCGGAGCUUCAGUCCGGAGACACACUGCUCCAUGACUGCAGCACCUGCGGCUGCGAGCUUGGCAGGUGGAACUGUUCCUUGGAACAUUGCCCGGUCAACGGAGGUCUGUCCCCCUGGGGCUCCUGGAGCCCCUGCUCGCUGUCCUGUGGAGGUCUGGGACUGAAGACUCGCUCCAAGAGCUGCACGCAGCCGGCCCCGGCCCACGGAGGGAGAAACUGCCAGGGGCCACGCCAGGAAACCACCUACUGCCAGGCCCCAGACUGCCCAGUGAUUGUCGGUCCUACAGAAGAACCAGUUUUACCAGAUGAGGAUGCUGGCUUCUCUCCAUGGUCAUCAUGGAGUCCCUGCACUAAGCCCUGCACGGAUGCCCGCAGCCCGGCCACAAAGUCCCGUCACCGACAGUGUGUCAGACCCCCCUGCACUGGAAGCUCUCACCAGGAGAAGGCCUGUAACCUGCCCCAGUGUACAGAUGGAGACGAGGAUUGUGUCGGGGCAGACUGCGCGAGGAGGAACUGCUUGUGGAAGGAGUGGGGGGAGUGGAGCUCCUGCUCGCGGUCCUGCGGAGUGGGUCAGCAGCAGAGGAUCCGCACCUUCCUCAGCCCCCGGACCAACGGCUCAUGGUGCGAGGACAUUCUGGGAGGAAACCUGGAGAAUCGCUUCUGUAACAUCAAGCCCUGCCGAGUGGAUGGAGGUUGGUCUCGCUGGAGUCCCUGGUCUCGCUGUGAUAAGCGCUGUGGCGGCGGGCGCUCCAUACGCACUCGCUCCUGCUCCAGCCCUCCGCCUAAGAACGGAGGGAAGAACUGUGAAGAAGAGAAGAACCAGGUCAAACCUUGCAACACCAGACCCUGCGAUGAGAGAGGCUGCCCGCUCGGCCAGGAGUUCGUAUCGUGUGCCAACCAGUGUCCACAGCGCUGCUCAGACCUCCAGCAGGGCAUAGAGUGCCAGGGCAACGCUGAAUGUCAGCCCGGCUGUCGCUGCCCUGAAGGCCAGUUGCAGCAGGACGGGGUGUGUGUGCAGCUGUGGCAGUGUGACUGCGUGGACUCACUGGGACACAUUUGGGCGGCCGGCAGUUCGCAUCAGGCGGACUGUAACAACUGCAGCUGCUCAGACGGACAGCUCCUGUGCACCAACCACAUCUGCCAGACCACCUGCAUUUGGAGCUCCUGGUCCAGCUGGGCGCUGUGCAGCGUCUCCUGUGGGCAGGGCCAGAGAACCAGAUACAGGUCUCUGGUCCCGGACACCGAAGGAGCAGAUUGCCAGUUUGAGGAAGUCCAGCAUAAAACCUGCGACCCGGGACCCUGCCCACCUCUCUGUCUGCAUGAUGACCAGGAGCUGGAGGUGGGUGACACCUGGCUGCAGGGCGAGUGUAAACAAUGCACAUGCACCCCGGAGGGAGAUUACUGCCAAGACAUUGACUGCAGAGUGGAUGGUGGUUGGACCCCUUGGUCAGUGUGGUCCGACUGCUCAGUGACCUGUGGACGGGGUACACAGGUUGGAACCCGUGCCUGCAUCAACCCCCCUCCACGUAACAACGGGUCUCACUGCAGCGGGCCGGACAGAGAGACCCAGGACUGUCUCACUCCUCCCUGUCUGGAUGACCUUUGCCCCUGGUUGGCAUGGUCUCCAUGUUCCCGGAGCUGCGGCGCUGGUUCGGUGUCGCGGCGCAGGGUGUGUGUGUGCGGGGAGGGAGGAGACGCGGCGUGUCCCGCUGAGAUCGAGGCCGGGAGGAACAGAGAGGAGACCCAGCUGUGUUACGAGCAGCCCUGUGCAGGCUGCCCCAUGUCAGAGUGGAGCGUCUGGUCUCAGUGCUCCUGCGCGUCUCAGAGGCAGCUGCGCUACCGCGUAGCUCUCUCCCCAGCCACCAGGGGGCAACAGUGCACUCCUGUUGAAACACAGAGCAGGACAUGCAGUCUCAGUCGAUGUGAUGAUUGCAAAGCUCCAUUUGUGUACUCAGCAUGCGGCGCGCCCUGUGAGAAGCAGUGUGCACUGCGGGGCGAUGGAGAUCUGUGUGUGGGAGUCCAGGAGUGUACACCUGGCUGCUAUUGCCCACAGGGCCUGCUGCAGCAGAAUGGUAGCUGUGUUCCUGCAGAGCAGUGUGGCUGCGUCCACCUGGAGCAGCAAGCUUCAGGCCAACCACCCACACCUGUGACUGUCCCUCAGGGGGCCACGGUCACCAUAGGCUGCAGUACCUGCCUUUGCCAUGAUGGAACUCUGCAGUGUGACAUGAGAGAGUGUGAAGUCAUCCUCAGCGAGUGGUCAGAGUGGACUCCCUGUUCUCCCUGUGUACCCUCGUCCUCCCUGCAACACAGCAACUCCCAAGCAGUAGUCAUCAGUAGCAGUAGGAUGGUCUCAACCCAGAGGCGUUUCCGGGCCUGUUUGGACCUGGAUUCGGGUCUCCCGGUCUCUAAAGAGGAAGAGGAGAGCCAAUGUCCAGGACCUCUGGUGGAGGAGAGGCUCUGUCCAGAUGCCAACCUCUGCAGAGACCUGUGUCAGUGGAGUGUCUGGAGCGCCUGGACGGCCUGCGCGCAGCCUUGCAGCGGCGGAGUCAGGCAGCGCUACAGACGGCCCCUGGCCUCUCCUCCAGGACCCCGCUGUAAGAGCCAGCAGACGCAGACCCAGAGCUGCAACACGGGACUCUGCCCAGGUGAGCGCUGUGAGGAUAGGGGGCGGACUUACCAAGAGAGCUGUGCCAAUCAAUGUCCUCGCAGCUGCACUGACUUAUGGGAGCAUGUGCAGUGUCUCCAGGGAGCAUGUCACCCAGGUUGUCGGUGUCCGAAGGGACAUUUGCUGCAGGACGGCCACUGUGUGCCAGUGACAGAGUGUCGCUGUGGUGUCCCAUCAGGCAACGGGACGCUGGAGUUCACCCCUGAAGAGGAGCUUUCCGUGGACUGUAACACCUGCGUGUGUGAGAACGGCACUCUGGUGUGCACCAAGCUUCAGUGCCCGGUUUAUGAGCCCUGGAGCCCAUGGAGCUCCUGCUCAGCCUCCUGUGGACACGGCCAGAUGACGAGGACACGCCUUUGCCAGGACCUGGAGGGCGGUCCUUCCUGUGCUGACACCACGCAGACGGAGAGCUGCGAUCUGCCAUCAUGUCCAGCGGGAUGUUUGUUGAGCGAGUGGUCACCCUGGACUGAGUGCAGCACCACGUGUGGCGGCGGGUCGAAGGUGCGGAACAAGACGGUCCUCAGAGAGCCAGAGCCUGGUGGGACGGCCUGUGUUGGACCACUUGAACAGCACACUGUCUGUAACACCAACAGCUGCCUACCUGAAUGUCCUAGCGGGCAGGUGUUUAGUGACUGUUCCGGUUCCUGUCCAUAUUCCUGUGAAGACCUGUGGCCACACACUCAGUGUUUAUCUGGACCCUGCACCCCUGGGUGCAGCUGCUCUCCUGGACAGGUGUUGCAUGAAGGCUCCUGUGUGUCCCACGCCGACUGUCCCUGUUCACCGCUGUCCCUGCCGACCGGUCACCAGCGCUGGAAUGCCAGCACUGAGGAGAUCACAGAAACUCGGCUGCCACCUGGAACGGCCAUCCAGCACCUCUGCAACACAUGUGUGUGCCAGAGAGGAGUGUUCAACUGCACCGCCGAGCUCUGUGACGUGCACUGCGAGUGGGCCAGCUGGUCCCAGUGGAGUCCCUGCUCAGCGAGCUGUGGCACGGGGCAACAGAGCUCCACCAGAAUCAUCCUGCAGCCCAGCCGGUAUGGAGGGGCCCCGUGUGAGGGCCCCGAGCACCGCACCAAGACCUGCAUGGCUCCCGACUGUGCAUGUCCUGACGGGGAGCAGUGGAGGAGGAGCGCGUCGGAGGAGCUUAUGCUGUGCGAGCGGAGCUGCCGGGACAUUUACUCCUCCUCUCCCGUCAACUGCAGCCACUCCGCCGAGGGCUGCGUGUGCCGGGAGGGGCUCUACCGCGACACCGGGGGCGUUUGUGUCAUCCCCGCCCUCUGCCCCUGCCAUGACCAGGGCAUCCAGCGGGAGGUACACACUCUCUCUCUCACACACACACACACACACACACACACACACACACAGACACACACACAGACACAGACACAGACACACACUGGCUUACACCCAAAGUCAACAGACAUCUGCUACCCAGCUGACUCUGCAGCUUGUAGCCAUUGUUCUGCCUCAUUGUGUGGCGCUUCUGAACCUUACCAUUAGCGUGGCGUUUACGUUCCCUCCCAUUGUGUUAUUUACUCAUAAUGAAAGGCCUAUUAGGAGAUGAGUGACAUGCCCCGUGGGCCACACUACACAGUGCCUCUCCAGCCCUCAGCCUCAUCAAUUAUGCAGGAAGUGCCGUAGAAAGCCGGCGUUGGGACCUCGACUGGGCAAGCCUGCCGGGAAUUAUUUAUGAAAGAGGGGAUAUUAUAGGAUUAUAAGAAUUAAUCAUACACUGACAAGAGGUCACGCGCCCUUGAUAUUUCUUCUUCGGGCCUUUCAUUCUCUCUUUCGUUCUUUCUUUCCUUUCCCAUGCCUCAGAUUAUCCCUCACCAUUCCCUCUUCUGCUGUCAUUACCCGAUUCCUGUUCCAUCCUUUUUCUUUUUAUUCCCAUUCUCCCUCCAUCUUCCUCUUACCUUUUCUCCCUUCAUCUCUGAUUCUUCUCAUCUGUCUCUUUCUUUCUUUCUUUCUACCUCGCCCUACUGCUUCUCUCUUCCUGUCUGUCAGCUGGGGAUGAGUAAUGGCCAUAUAAAGACUCUCUAUCAUUUUCUAAUCGACUACCUCAAAUGGUCCGGUGUGAGCCACAACGGCACUCCCUAGUUGGUGCCUUUGUGCGGGUAAAAACUGAGUAUUGUUAAUGAUUUCUACAGCUAACACAUACAUAAAAGAAAAUAUAUAAUGUAGUCUGUAUAAUGCGUUGCCAUAAUUACAGCAUCAUACGGCCUCCACAACCUCAGUUAUGCACAAGGGUGCAGCCAGAGCUUUAGUGGUUUCGCUGAAGAUAUCGAUCCUGAGUGGUGACCAGCUGCACUUUAUCAAACCUGCAUUUCUAAAGUCUAGUGAGUGAAUAUGAGUGAAUAUUUGUGAGUGUGUGUGUGUGUGUGUGUGUGUGUGUGUGUGUGUGUGUGUGUGUGUGUGUGUGUGUGUGUGUGUGUG